rnacentral:tRNA from 1 species
GCAGGGAUAAUCGAAUUGGAAUAGAUACUUGUCUUAGAAACAAGUUUUUGAGGGUUCGAGUCCCUCUCCCUGUACCA